UGAUUGAAUGAUGGUGUAAAACU
rnacentral:miRNA from 1 species